UACGUAGGAGGCAAGCGUUGUCCGGAUUUACUGGGCGUAAAGCGCGCGCAGGCGGCAGUGCAAGUAAGGUGUGAAAUCUCCCUGCUCAACGGGGAGGGUGCAUUUUAGACUGCACAGCUAGAGGUCGGUAGAGGGGGGUGGAAUUGCUGGUGUAGCGGUGAAAUGCGUAGAGAUCAGCAGGAACACCCGUGGCGAAGGCGGCUUUCUGGCCUGUUCUUGACGCUGAGGCGCGAAAGCUAGGGGAGCAAACGGG
rnacentral:rRNA from 1 species